ensembl:lncRNA
AUGAUGUGGAAUAGCAAUAGUAAAAUUACAAAACCAUGAUAGGAAGGAAAGGAAGGAAGGAAGACUCAAUUGUAUGGUCUCAUACUUCAGAUAGCUAUGGAUAACCAGCAUGUACCCAGCUAAAUCCCCUGAUAGCUGCUCCAUCAUUCCAAGUGAGUGGCAUACUUUAUCAAAGUGUAUGUACCACACUGAAACAAAAAGGAUAAUAAUCUGCCCAAGUCUACAUGAAAUUUGAAGACUAAAGAAGUGCUUCAGAAUAGUUUAAUUUUUCCCAGCCUUUUCUUUGUGUUAUAUAGUUAUAUGUCCUUUAGCUACCCCUAAGAGAGUUUGAGCUACAGGAGAUGAAGAGAAUACCUGAUCUCAGAAAUAUUUGAUAUCUUUUUUUUUUUUUUAAUGAAAAAGUGUGAGGGAGGCAUAGGAAGUAGCUACUGGAUUUCAGUGGGGGUAACUAAUUUUAUGUUAGAGGACUACAUAUGACAAAUUGAUGCCGUCUCUUACUUGUCACAAGAGUUGCUAACUUACUGGUCUCCAGAGUUCUUUGGAAAUUUGCAAUUCAUGAAAAAAAAUCUGUAAGCAAUGAAAUUGAUACAGACAUAUGAAGGUGAAAAACACAGGGAAAAGGUGGAUACUAAGGAAAUCAAGGAUAUAAACUAUUUUUCUGAUGCACAGUAUACGAUCUAACAUUAAGUAGCCAUCGUGUUAGAAAUAUUUGGAAUUUUUUCAUGACAGAGAAAAAUAUAUAUAUCUUAAGUUCACUGUCUGGUGAUUUGUCAAAGUUGUCCACAAAACAGAAAUUCUGGUUUUUGUUAAUUUGCUGAUUGGUAGAUCUUAUCUUAGCCUUCUAUUACUAUUUUAAAUAACUAAAUAAGAGACAACUAAAUUAUCUACCAACAUUUUAGAUAUCCUAUUAAUAAUUUUUCAUAGUAUUCCUAAAUGUUUCAGUCUUUGGAAAGCAUACGCAGACCACUAGGCUGGACAGAACAAUAAAUGGAAAAAAUAGUGGCAACAGAAAGCAAUCGACUUUGCUGCACCCAAAUAUCUGGUCCUUGGUAUUCCUUCCUACAUUUUUUUUUUUUCCACUAAAAAUGAAAAAGCAGAAUUAUCUGUGAGAUUCUCUUCCUGUCUUUCUCUAGCAUCCGUCUUCUCUUUCUUGGCAUGUAAAGCUUCCAGCAGUCUGUUACAUGGCUGAGAAGUUUGUUAUAUUGGAGUUCUGGUAAGGCAGAAAAAAUGGAAAUGAAGCCAGAUCACUGCCUAGGCAGCAAGUACUGCAUGAGGAACUGAGGCAUGGGAGUUUGAAACCUCUCACUUCUAUUCCUGCCUCAGGUAAAGAAGCUGCAAAUAAGUGGGAAUAUACCACGUGCUCAAACCUGUUAGGUUUCUUUGGAGAGUAUGGAAUAGUGGCAUAGUCUUCUCCCACCGUUUAGUUUUUCUUUUCUAACUGGAAUGGUAUGAAGCUUGAAGUGUUGAAUAAAAUCCAGAUAGUUUUG